AUUCCAGCUCCAAUAGCGUAUAUUAAAGUUGUUGCAGUUAAAAAGCUCGUAGUUGGACUUCUGGGUUGUGAUUGUGGUCCGCCUAACGGUGUGCACUGUGGUUGCGACUCUUCUUCCCGUAGUUUGGGGGUGCACUUAGUUGUGUGCUUUUGGAAUAUGGGACCUUUACUUUGAAAAAAUUAGAGUGUUCAAAGCAGGCCUUCGCUUGAAUACAUUAGCAUGGAAUAAUAGAAUAGGACUUUGGUUCUAUUUUGUUGGUUUCUAGGACCGAAGUAAUGAUUAAUAGGGACAGUUGGGGGCAUUAGUAUUUAAUUGUCAGAGGUGAAAUUCUUGGAUUUAUGAAAGACUAACUACUGCGAAAGCAUUUGCCAAGGAUGUUUUCAUUG
rnacentral:rRNA from 1 species